rnacentral:rRNA from 1 species
AGAAUGAACGCUGGCGGUGUGGUUAAGACAUGCAAGUCGAACGGUGUUUCAGAUGUAGCAAUACAUUUGAAACGCAGUGGCGAACGGGUGCGUAACACGUGAACAAUUUACCUUUUAGUGUGGAAUAGCUCGACGAAAGUCGGAUUAAUACCGCAUGUGGUUGUCUCUCUCCUGAGAGGCAUACUAAAGCCAGGGACCGCAAGGCCUGGCGCUAUUAGAGGAGUUCGCGGCCUAUCAGCUAGUUGGCGAGGUAACGGCUCACCAAGGCUAAGACGGGUAGCUGAUCUGAGAGGAUGAUCAGCCACACUGGAACUGAGACACGGUCCAGACACCUACGGGUGCAGCAGUUUCGAAUCAUUCACAAUGGC